rnacentral:rRNA from 1 species
GUGCCAGCCGCCGCGGUAAAACGUAGGAUCCGAGCGUUAUCCGAAUUCACUGGGCGUAAAGCGCAUGCAGGCGGCCGCACAAGUUGGAUGUGAAAUCUCCCGGCUCAACUGGGAGGGGACGUUCAAAACUGUGCGGCUCGAGGGCGGUAGAGGAAGGUAGAAUUCCCGGUGUAGUGGUGAAAUGCGUAGAUAUCGGGAGGAAUACCCGUGGCGAAGGCGACCUUCUGGACCGUUUCUGACGCUCAGAUGCGAAAGCUAGGGGAGCGAACGGGAUUAGAAACCCCGGUAGUCCUAGCCGUAAACGAUGUCGACUGGGCGUGGGUGGGGUAAAAGCCAUCCGUGCCGAAGCUAACGCGUGAAGUCGACCGCCUGGGGACUACGGCCGCAAGGUUAAAACUCAAAUAAAUUGACGG